GGCCGCUGCGCCAGGCCGCACCGCGAACCAGGCGCGCUGUCCCAGUUCGGGUUCGCCUCACCCGCUCCACCCGCAAUGCCGCCCGACUAACGAGAUAACAGCUGUCCGGACUGCGCAGGCUUCCCGCCGUCCGAUGUUUCACCUUGUAAAAAAUCUGGUGACUGGUAGAGUGGUGGGCAUCAGACCUCGAGGCUGAUCCCCUACUCGCUGGACCGAUCAAGUAAAGUCCCUUACGGGUUUAACAUCACCCAGACGUAGAGGCUUGCCGAAGACAGGGGAGAAUGUAGGUAGUUGUGUGGCGCCGCUAACACGACCUUCACAAGUGUGAGACUGAAGAAGAAGAUAUGUUAAUCGGACUAAUAUGGAUUAGUGAAAUAAAACAAACAUAUUA